rfam:Orientia tsutsugamushi str. Gilliam got.contig.74_1, whole genome shotgun sequence.
CCUGUUGUUCUACGAACAGAAGCCUACUGGUACAUGCAAUUGAGUAAUCCUAUAUACUAUCAGGACAAUAUACUUGACUCGAAAUGGACUCGAAAAAUCGUGAAAGGAAGAUUAGACUAUUAGUAUCAUGUGGUCAGAAGC